rnacentral:rRNA from 1 species
GAUGAACGCUGGCGGCGUGCCUAAUACAUGCAAGUCGAGCGAACAGACGAGGAGCUUGCUCCUCUGACGUUAGCGGCGGACGGGUGAGUAACACGUGGAUAACCUACCUAUAAGACUGGGAUAACUUCGGGAAACCGGAGCUAAUACCGGAUAAUAUAUUGAACCGCAUGGUUCAAUAGUGAAAGACGGUUUUGCUGUCACUUAUAGAUGGAUCCGCGCCGCAUUAGCUAGUUGGUAAGGUAACGGCUUACCAAGGCAACGAUGCGUAGCCGACCUGAGAGGGUGAUCGGCCACACUGGAACGGAGACACGGUCCAGACUCCUACGGGAGGCAGCAGUAGGGAAUCUGCCGCAAUGGGCGAAAGCUUGACGGAGCAACGCCGCGUGAGUGAUGAAGGUCUUCGGAUCGUAAAACUCGGUUAUUAGGGAAGAACAAAUGUGUAAGUAACUAUGCACGUCUUGACGGUACCGAAUCAGAAAGCCACGGCUAACUACGUG